rnacentral:rRNA from 1 species
AGUGAACGCUGGCGGUAGGCCUAACACAUGCAAGUCGAACGGCAGCACAGUAAGAGCUUGCUCUUACGGGUGGCGAGUGGCGGACGGGUGAGGAAUACAUCGGAAUCUACUUUUUCGUGGGGGAUAACGUAGGGAAACUUACGCUAAUACCGCAUACGACCUACGGGUGAAAGCAGGGGAUCUUCGGACCUUUCGCGAUUGAAUGAGCCGAUGUCGGAUUAGCUAGUUGGCGGGGUAAAGGCCCACCAAGGCGACGAUCCGUAGCUGGUCUGAGAGGAUGAUCAGCCACACUGGAACUGAGACACGGUCCAGACUCCUACGGGAGGCAGCAGUAGGGAAUAUUGGACAAUGGGCGAAAGCCUGAUCCAGCCAUACCGCGUGGGUGAAGAAGGCCUUCGGGUUGUAAAGCCCUUUUGUUGGGAAAGAAAAGCAGCAGGUUAAUACCCCGCUGUUCUGACGGUACCCAAAGAAUAAGCACCGGCUAACUUCGUG